AUAAGUUUGACUGUUUAAAUUUUCAUGAUUAGUGAUGUUGAUUUUAGUUAUUUAGUGGGCAGAGGCAGUCCUCAAUACUGCUCGAAGCAAGUUCGCUUGUUGUCCAUCCACUUCUGCUGGCCCACAGAUUUUUGUGCAGCUUCCAUCCACUUCUGCUGGUCCACUUAUGCAACAACAAAAAGAUUAAAAUUGUAGUAAUUGCCUGUUUUUUGCUAAUCUUAUAAACCAUGGAGUUGUUCGUGAUUCAUGGUUCUGCCAGUGUUUUGAUUAUUAACUCUUUAAUGAUACUGUUCUGCCAGCUCUUGCUGACAAGAAUGUUUUAAUAGGUGCCCCACUUCCAAGAGGUCACGUGCUUGCUAAAAAGGUGGUUGAACCCAAUGUGUCAAGAAUCUAAGUUAUGGAAAAGCAUUCUAAGUUUUUGAUGGAGUCCAAUCCAUCCUAUUUUGCAAACUAUUCUUGUGGCUCAUUCGGCUUCCCUUUACAGCACAACAUCCACUUUCCACAAGAAGUUCUGCAACACCAAAGGUCAAAUCACUUGGAAUGGUGUGUCAUUCUACUAUUAAGUAUAGAUAACACACCAAGAAUUACUCUAGAGAGAAACAUGAUGGAGGAAUGGGAAGGAUGGCUACUUGGGGUCCAACAACUAUUUAAAGAGGGUUCCUCAAUCCAGAAAGUCAACAUUCUCCCUCCAAGAUUGGCAGGAACAACUGCAGCUAGCAAUGAAGAAAUUCAGAUUCUGCACACUCGUGACAACCGAACAGAGCUCAGUUCCGUAGAGCAGAGGUGACGAUAAUGGAAGUCAACAAUAGUCAGGAUGGUAGAGGAACAUAUUCAAAUGCGGCAUCAGACAUUGUUAAUAGGCUUACCACAGGAGGUCACCAAGUGUAUGGACUGAUGUGCUCCAAGAAGCUGAAAAGAACGUGCUCGAAUCGACAAAAGCUGUGAAUGGUAACCAACUUUUAGUGAGCUAUUUAAGUGAUUGCAAGUAUGUUCUGCAGAUAAGGGACUUGGAAACAGGUCUAUUUCAACAUCCCAUACCGCUAGACAUAGGUACCGUUUACAGGAUUUUUGGAUCCCAUCCUAUGUCUAACAAUAGACCUCUUCUGCAGAAUAUCUUCAUUUCUGGAACCUCACCGCUAGACAUAGGUACCGCUAGACAGGUCUAUUGAAACAUCCAUAUUUUUUAUUAGCUUCACUAGCUUCCUUACUCCCGGCAUUAUUUAUAGGUGCAACUUAGCGACUGAGGUUCCAGAAAUGAAGAUAUUCUGUGAGAUUGUUAUAUCUGGAUUUGAUUACAUAGAGUUCUAGUUAAUCAGGUAAGCUUAUUACUAAAAAAAAUAUGUUUUGUGCUGCAAACCUAAAGGCUUUCUUACUGUUAUGGUAUCUGUCUUUCAGAUAUACUCUUCUCCCAAUGAGCCGUAUAUGCUUUUCAAGGUAUUUUACUAAGUGAACAAAAGAUCCUCCAUAAUCAUUUAAAUCCCAUGGUUGUGUGGUUUUGAUGUUGAUUUGUUUAUUUAGGACACUUGCAAUAGUUCACAGACUGUUGUACCUACUAUUGCUCCAGCAGUAGUUGGAGAUCGGAGGAUAUCUUUAGGUCCUGGGGCAGGUUGCGCCAGCCUUGCUACACAACUAGAAUUAGGAUAUCACUAAGCAUGUCUUACAGCCAGCAGGUCAGAGCUCCCUAUUGAGGUUGCAGGGCUUGUUACGCACAAUUCGAAUGGAGAAUGCUAGUAGAGGUAAUGAUAACGUUGGCCUAAAUGCAGCAGAAGAUGGACGGGCAGUGUUAUCUCAGGGUCCGCCAAGCACGACGGCACUGGUGAUGACGGGCGCGACCAUGACUUUGUAUUAUUUGUGGAACCUAAUGUUGUGUAACAGUUUGAUUGAGUUAAACUUUAAAUAGACUAUUAUUAACUGUUUUGUUGGUAUUGUGGCUUUCAUGAUUGAUUGUUUCAUGAGUGGAUUGAAUAAAUAUUUUUAAAAAAAAUAUUUUUAG